CAUUUUCAUCUUAAGAGGAAACAUCUUAGUUUCCGACGUAACUGGCCCACACAACUGUAAGCUUUUUACCUUAAAACUGUUACAGUCACUUAAACUAAGCACGUGAAGUUACUGGGAAGCACCUUCGGUGCCCGCCUCCUCCCAGGGCUUCUCCCUCUCCCUUCUCAGACCUGGGCUUCGUCCUCCUCCGGCUCCUCGCUGGAAGCUCUCCGCCCAGGCCACGCCCCCCGGAGGCCCUGCUUCUAAUCGCGCGCGCAAUUUCCAGAGGACCUGGAAGCGGAUACGGCGGAGACAGGGUCAUAAGACACAGGAAAUGUUUUUGUUUCAGGAACAGCUAACUUUUGAAGAUGUGGCCAUUGAUUUCUCUCAGGAGGGUUGGGAAUGCCUGGACCCUGCUCAGAGGGCCUUGUACAGUGACAUGAUGUUGGAGAUGUAAAGGAACCCGAUCUCCAUGGAUAUCUCUCUUAUACGUGUGAUCCAGCAGUUACAACCAAAAACGAACAGUGAUAACAGGAGAAGUAUUCCAAACAGUGAUGUUGGGAAGAUCUGAAAGUCAUGAAAUCGAACAUUUUUACCUCAGGGAAAUCCAGGAAAAUAUGUAUGACUUUGAGUCUCAGCAGAGAGAUGAUGAAAGAAAUUAUAAAGUUAUGCCUAUAACCCAUAACAAAAAUCUCACUGAUGGAAGACAUUGCCAUUGUAGACAGGAUGCAGGAAUCAAGCCCAUUGGAAAUAGGCUUGGAUUAAGCUUUCAGGAUGAACUCCAUAUAAUGAGAAGUGAAGGGGAAAUUUAUGAAUUUAAAUUUAAAUUUAGCUGACAAGAAAAUCAACCGUAGUGCCUCAGUUUCACCACUUCACGUAAUUCCUCUUACUCUUCAAACCAGUAUUUCUAAUACAAAUGAGAAUGAUUUUAUGCAUGCCCCCAACACUGACAGAAGACCAGACAAAUGUAACGAGUGUAACGAAACCUUCCUUAACAGCUCAAACCUUACUAGAUAUCAGAGAAUCCACACAGGAGCGAAAUUAUAUAAAUGGGAUAUAUGUGGUAAAAUCUUUGGUCGAAAUUCACACCUUGUGGGUCAUCAGGAAAGUCAUGUUGUAGAAAAAUGUUACAAAUGUAAUGAAUGUGGCAAAACCUUUAGUCAUGGCUUAUAGCUCACUCAACAUCAAAUAAUCCAUUCAGGAGAGAAACUAUAUAAAUGUGAUGUAUGUGGCAAAGUCUUCAGUCAAAAUUCAGUCCUUGCAAAUCUUCAGAGAAUUCACACCGAAGAGAAACCGUAUACAAAUGAGUGUGGAAAAACCUUUAAUCACCUCUCAAACCUCAUUAGACAUCAGAAAAUUCGUACAGGAAAGAAAUUAUAUAAAUGUGGUAUGUGUAGCAAAGUCUUCAGUUGUAAUUCAAACCUUGCAAUUCAGUGGAGGGUUCAUACUGGGGAGAAACCUUAUAAAUGUAACGAGCGUGGCAAGGUCUUUCGUCUAAAACCACAUCUUCGAUUUCAUCGGAGGGUUCAUACUGGAGAUAAUCCUUUCAAAUGUAGUGAUUGUGGCAAAGCCUUCAGUCAAAAUUCACACCUUACAAGUCACUGGAGAGUACAUUUUGUAAAGAAACCUUUCACAUAUAUUGCGUGUGCAAAAACCUUUACUCGGGUCUCAACCCUCACUACACAUCAGAAAAUCCAUACAUGAGAGAAACCAUAUAAAUAUGAUAUAUGUUGGAAGGACUUCAAAAUUCAAACUUCAAAAUUCACACCUUAUGGUUCUUCGGAGAAUUCAUAAUGGAGAGGAACCGUACAAGUAUCACGAGUCUGGCAAAGCUUUUGUGCGUUCAGCCUCACUUACCAUCAGACAAUUCAUGAUGGAGAGAAACCUUACAAAUGUAAUGACUGUCUCAGUGUGUUUAGUCAAGAUUUAUACCUUAUGACCUACCAAAUUAUUCAUACAGGAGAGAAACCUUGUAAAUGUAAUGAGUGUGACAAAUCCUUCAGUGUGCUUUCAAGCCUAACUUAUCAGAUGGUCCAUACUGGUGAAAGACCUUGAAAAUAUAAUCAGUGUGGCAACGCUUUUAGCAUAGGUUCACAUUUUAAUGUUCAUGAGAAAAUUCUUACUGGCUAGAAGCCAGGUAAAUGUAUUUAGUAUAGUCAGGCCUUUAGAAAAUGAACUCAUUCCAGAAAGAAUCCUCACAAAUUCCAUGAAUGUGCAAAACCUAUACUCAUGGCUCCCAUCUCACCAGUAGUUUGGUAAUAAGCACUGGACAAAACAUUACGAAAGUAAUGAAUUUUGCAAAGCUUUUAGGUCGUGCCUUAAACUCAGGGUCACCAGAUACGUCAUGCUUAAAAAUGCAAUGAAUAUGGCAAAGUUUCAAAUUUCUGGUCCUUCGUCACUAGAUAUCAGAAUCUUUAUCCCGGAGAGAAACAACACAAACGUACUGUGUGUGGCAAGGAUUUUACCCAAAGAUCACAAGUUGGGGAACAUACUGAAGUGUUAGCUCCCAAAUACAAUGGAUGUGGCAAAACAUUUACCUUGAGUUCAAGUAUUAAGCAACAGCAGAGAGUCCAUAUUGAAGAGAAGCCAUGGAAAUGUAGGGCAGAAGCUUUAUCCAGGCCUCACAGUGCACCAGACUUCAGAAGACUUAUCUUUGAGGGAAACCACACAAAAGAAUAUGUUUACUAAUGCCUGUAAGUGAUGAUCCAGACUGUGGAACAUAGAAGCUUUCCAAUGUAAUGAAUGCGUAAAGGUUUUCAUCAAGUAAUCACACCUUUGGUGUGAUGAAAUAAUUCAUACAGCUCAGAAAAUAUACAGAUAUUCUGAACAUAGAAACACUUUUCAGAAACAGUGCAUCCUCAGGGAGCAUCAUGAAAGUCAUAGUUGGGAGAGCCCUUACAAAUGUAAUAAAUUUGGGGAAUUUUUUGAGCAAUUCUUACAAUAGACCACACAUCAAAGAAUGCAUACUAGGAUUAAGUCAGCCUGUAGUUCUCCAGAUUAAUCUGAGAUAUUAUAUACUGCAGAAUCAUUACAAGUCACAGUGUGUUAAAACUUAUGACAUGAUGCAUAUAUGAGGGUAAGAAGGAUAUAUGUGGAAAUGGCCCAUUAUCUCCAGUGUAUAAAUACUCAAUUUUUUGAAAGGGCUUCGUUACAAUUUAUGCCUUUCAACGUGAAGUUUGAAAUCUGUUGAUCUUACGCCUUCAGUGUAGGCCUUUGAUGAUGGUCUCUGGGAAGGAGUCAAUAAGAUGAAAGGGCCAACUUCAUUAGGUGUAGCUCCUUCACCUCCAUGUUGCCUGGAAAAAUAAGGACACUGAAUUGUUAAAUUGAACAUUGUGUAAAUUAUCGUUAGGGAGAGGCAGAAAAUAAUGUAAAACUAGGACAUGACCCAUCAUGCUUAUGUUCGGGGAGCCCUUCCAUAGAUACUCCAAAGUGGGUUAUGGGACAGAAUUGUCUACCAACUGACCUUGAACAGGGCAGGAAGGACAUUAAUGAUCUAGGCUUUUCAUGGGAGGAAAGUGACAGGUAGCUAGUGACUGAUUGGUGGAAAUAAUGCAGGGGAAAUCUUGGCCACUUUCUCCACUGGAUGGCCAUAACCUGUAUAUAUCUAUGUUUAAUGAGAAAUUAGUCUUAUUUUUGGAAGUUGAACAGAGAGCAGUUAUCUUGAGAGGGAAAUUUAUUCAAAAGAACCAGAAUUUUAUGUGUAUGUGUAUGAUUCACAUUUA